UACGUAGGGGGCAAGCGUUGUCCGGAAUUAUUGGGCGUAAAGAGCGUGUAGGCGGCCUGGUAGGUCAGCUGUGAAAACUCGAGGCUCAACCUCGAGACGUCGGUUGAAACCACCUGGCUAGAGUCCGGAAGAGGAGAGUGGAAUUCCCGGUGUAGCGGUGAAAUUCGUAGAUAUUCGGAAGAACACCAGUGGCGAAGGCGGCUCACUGGUCCGGUACUGACGCUGAGGUGCGAAAGCGUGGGGAGCAAACAGG
rnacentral:rRNA from 1 species